AUGGCGUCGGCGCGCCGCCUGCUGCAGACCUACCCGGGCCAGUUCCAGGCCGCCGAGCCGCCCGACGCCCUCGGCGCCGACUCCGACGUCGUCGUCAUCCUCGCCGCGCUGCUCUGCGCGCUCCUCUGCGUCGUCGGCCUCGCCGCCGUCACCGGCUGCGCGCGCUCCCGCCGCGGCGCUGGGGGCACCAGAUCCGCCGCCUCCUCCGGCCCCGACGCGAACAAGGGGCUCAAGAAGAGGGCGCUCAUGGCGCUGCCGAAGCUGGCGUACGAGGACGCCGUGGCGGCGGCCGUCGCGGCGCGCGGCGGCACGGCCUCGGCGGCGGCCGGGGAGGGGCAGGAGGGGAUCCUCUCGGAGUGCGCCAUCUGCCUGUCGGAGUACGCGGGGAAGGAGGAGAUCCGCGUCCUGCCGCAGUGCGGCCACGGCUUCCACGUCGCCUGCGUCGACGCCUGGCUCCGCGCGCACUCCUCCUGCCCUUCCUGCCGCCGCGUCGUCGUCGUCGUCGCCGACGCGGCGCCCCGCAAGAUGCCGCCCGAGCCCAAGCGGUGCCGCAAGUGCGAGUCCAUGGAGGAGGCGUCCUCCUCCGCCUCCGCGACCGCCGGCGACCACAGGGCCGCCCGUUUCUUGCCAUGA
rnacentral:rRNA from 1 species